rnacentral:rRNA from 1 species
AGCGAACGCUGGCGGCAGGCCUAACACAUGCGAGUCGAACGAACCUUUCGGGGUUAGUGGCGGACGGGGGAGUAACACGUGGGAACGUUCCUUUAGGUUCGGAAUAACUCAGGGAAACUUGUGCUAAUACCGAAUGUGCCCUUCGGGGGAAAGAUUAAUCGCCUUUAGAGCGGCCCGCGUCUGAUUAGCUAGUUGGUUGAGGUAAUGGCUCACCAACGCGACGAUCAGUAGCUGGUCUGAGAGGAUGAUCAGCCACAUUGGGACUGAGACACGGCCCAAACUCCUACGGGAGGGAGCAGUGGGGAAUCUUGCGCAAUGGGCGAAAGCCUGACGCAGCCAUGCCGCGUGAAUGAUGAAGGUCUUAGGAUUGUAAAAUUCUUUCAACGGGGACGAUAAUGACGGUACCCGGAGAAGAAGCCCCGGCUAACUUCGUG